rnacentral:rRNA from 1 species
UGACCUCGGAUCAGGUAGGGAUACCCGCUGAACAUA